UUAAAAAAACACAUGCUCUAGUGAAUUCUGGACCAUUCGUUCAAAGAAGGAACGAUCUUGCCAUUCCUCGUCUCUUGAGCUCCGCCGCCUCCCCCAUGGAGGAUCCGCCGAGAACAGGAUGGAUUCAAGAAGAUGGACUGAGUCGGUCCUAAUCCUAAACGGUGCAAGUUUAGUGGCAGCAGCAACGGAAGCAUCUUCCAGUGUUUAGGAGAGGAAUAGGCAAGCUGCUAGAGAUAUUUCAAGCCAGAAGCUAGCUAAGCCAUGAGGCUCAAGGCGGUGUACUGUACGCCGCCGUCGAGAAGCUGCUGCUCUGCUUCUCCGCGAACUUCAUCCAGAGUUCGAGCGACGUGUUCGGCCCCACGGUGCUCCUGGAGCCCAAGAUGUCCGCGGCGUGAGACUUCGGCGUCCUGGUCUCCUAGGCGCCCACUGCGGCGAUGCGGCACAGGUCCGCCGCCGACAUCGCGCGGCUCCCGGGCGCGCUGUCCUCGGCAGCGCCGGGCCCCCUCUCCGUGGCAGCGCGCGGCGUGGGGCACUCGCUCCACGGCCAGGCGCAGGCGUGCGCCUCCUCCCCGCAGGUCCUCCUCCCUCGUGAUCACGCACCCCCUCCGUCCCCUUCUUUGCUCCUCCGUCUCAUUCCUUCUCUGAUCUUGCCUUUUUUUUAUUCCUAGCAAAAAGGUGUCGUUCAGCUUACCAUGGAUAGCAUCUGACAUAGAUUUGAAGCGGCAGCUAGAUCUGUGAAGUGGUCAGAUCCUAUGAGUCCAGCUGAUUAUUGCAUCGUGAGACCAUUUGGUGUUUAUUAGUAGAAUUUGACUCAUUUUUGUUGUUGUUGUUUGUAAGAAUUGUGUACCUUAAGAUUCGGUAAAUAUUUCUUUUGCAGAAAAAGACGUGCAUCCUUGUAGAUUUUGGUUAAUCUAUAUUGUGGUUUAUGAAAGAAACAUCCAUCGGCAAAUAGUUUUCUGUAAUCUUUUAUGUGCACAAAAAUAUGUGCAAGAUUUGACUUCAGUGUGCAUGUACUUCCAUGUUAAAAAAACAUGUGCAUCAUGAUCAGAAUGUUGCUCGAGAUGUUCUACAUGCACAAAGUACACCGGUUUUUUGUAUGCUUUAAUGGUUUCACAAUUUUUACUGCUGAUUAUAAAACUUGUGCAUCAUGCUCGUUGCACCUUCAUUUAUAUAUCUUGUAAGUUCAGAACUUCAGUUAUGUACUGGUGCAUCAUGCUCGUUGAAUGUUAGGGUUAAUUUCUGGUGAGAAAAAUUAAUUGUGCAUCCUCAUGUAAUUCACAUAUUUUCCUAUUUUUUUAUCUACAAAAAACAUUAUUUUUGCUGCUCAGAGAACAAUUCCAUCUUUUGUAAAUAUAUCUUUCAUGUAUAAGAAAUGUGCAUCUCUAAUAUGUUGUGCAUUUGACAGAUUAUUCUGGAAGAAAAAUACGUCCAGGUAAUUAUUCUAGCACAGAAGAAAAAUAUGUCCAGCAGUCCAGGCCAUGUACUUUUAUCUCAAAUCUUGUUAUACACAAACAGUUGUGCAUGCCCUUUGUUGUACAUGUUAUUAGUGUGUAACCUCUAUUGUGCAUCCUGAUUUAUUGUACAAUUGAUUAAUUAUUUUCUUGAAGGAUCACAAUUGAAAUGUGCAACAUCUAUUGUUC